AUAAAUCAACAAGAGGGUUGACCAGAUGGCUCAGUGGCUAAAGCACUUUUUAUGCAAGUCUGAAAACCUGACUUCAAUCCCAGGAACCCAUGUAAAAAUCUUAGAGUACUCAGCUUAGCAGAAACAACCAGAGGGACCUUGCCUCCAAAACAAUGUGGAGAGGCUGGAGAGAUGGCUCAGUAGUUAAGAGCACGUACUGCUCUUCAAGAGGACCUGAGUUCGACUCCCAGCAAUGCAUGUCAGGUGGCUCACAACCACUUAUACCUAUAGCUUCAGGGGAUCUGAUGCCUUAGGCCUCCUCAAACACCUGCCCUCACACAUAACCCCUAUACAUGUACAUACUACACAUAAUUAAAAAAUAAACAAAUACAAGUUUUAAGGUGGAAAGAGAAAACCAAUUCCUGAAAAUUAACGUCUGACCUCCACAUGUACAGUGGUGCAUGUGUGCACGCCUCCCCCCCUAGCCAUGCACAUCAUAUUGAUAAAAAUUUAAAGAUUAGCCAGGCAAUGGCACAUGCCUUUAAUCGCAGGAGGCAGAGGCAGGCAGAUCUCAAAACAAAAAACAAAAAAAACAAAAACAAAAAAAACCCAAAAAACAACAACAAACAAACAAGCAAACACUAACUCAAAAUUAAAGAUUAAAAUAAACACAAGAGUCAUUGAACUGCCCAGCUAGGAAGUGCAGAGGCAGGUUUGAACCCAGCUCAGAAGAGUUCUCCACUGGCCACCUCUUCCUGGAUUCCUCUACCUCACCCUGCUUGGCCCGGAGGCUCUAAGGAAAAACUGCCACCUGCCCAGUCCUGGUGCUAGUGUGAGUCAGCAGAUAAAUGGGCCACCCUUGCAUCCUUCGUGUGAGACCCAGGGCCCACAGAUGCAGCCCAGCAGCCUGGCUGCAAUUCAGCCAGUGAGGAGAGAGAGGGCCUGGAAGAUUCCUCAGGGACCCUUCAGUCCGAGCCACAUGGGGCCAGACCCCAUAGUGUUCUAUGCACAAGACCAUGUGGCCCAGGAAGGUCUCCAAGGAGAAGCUGGGAUCCUGCCUGCUUGCAAGCACUCAUGGUCCUCCAGCAUCCUGGCUCCUGUCCUUUGGGGUCCUGGCCUGCUCUUCUUCUGUCCUCAAGCCCUGGGGACCUCCGAACACUUGCUGCUUGCCUCCUGGGCACCCCUCUGUAUCCACAAGCAAGAAGACGCAUACCCACACGUGGACCUUGGCAUCUCUGCUUCUCCAGGUGCAGUGUUCUGCCUGCAGGCCAGAAGAGGGCGCCAGAUCUCAUCAUAGAUGACUGUGAACCACCAUGUGGUUGCCAGGAAUUGAACUCAGGACCUCUGGAAGAGCAGCCAGUGCUCAUAAUCUCUGAGCCAUCUCUCCAAAACCUAAAUAAAAUAUUUUUAAAGUGA